rnacentral:rRNA from 1 species
ACGCACGCUGGCGGCGUGCUUAACACAUGCAAGUCGAACGGAAAGGCCCUGCUUUUGUGGGGUGCUCGAGUGGCGAACGGGUGAGUAACACGUGAGUAACCUGCCCUUGACUUUGGGAUAACUUCAGGAAACUGGGGCUAAUACCGGAUAGGAGCUCCUGCUGCAUGGUGGGGGUUGGAAAGUUUCGGCGGUUGGGGAUGGACUCGCGGCUUAUCAGCUUGUUGGUGGGGUAGUGGCUUACCAAGGCUUUGACGGGUAGCCGGCCUGAGAGGGUGACCGGCCACAUUGGGACUGGGAUACGGCCCAGACUCCUACGGGAGGCAGCAGUGGGGAAUAUUGCACAAUGGGCGGAAGCCUGAUGCAGCAACGCCGCGUGCGGGAUGACGGCCUUCGGGUUGUAAACCGCUUUCGCCUGUGACGAAGCGUGAGUGACGGUAAUGGGUAAAGAAGCACCGGCUAACUACGUG